rnacentral:rRNA from 1 species
CCAUACCACCCUGAAUGCACCCGAUCUCGUCUGAUCUCAGAACAUUGGGGAAGAUAGAAAAGUUUGAGGGAACCCAUAAGAAAACUACUAG